UCUCGGUAGCCAAGUUGGUUUAAGGCGCAAGACUGUAAUUUAUCACUACGAAAUCUUGAGAUCGGGCGUUCGACUCGCCCCCCGGGAG
rfam:Saccharomyces cerevisiae Vin13 chromosome XV, whole genome shotgun sequence.